GGAAGGUUGUCCGAGCUGGCCGAAGGAGCACGCCUGGAAAGUGUGUGUAGGCGUCACAAGCGUCUCAAGGGUUCGAAUCCCUUACCUUCCG
rnacentral:tRNA from 1 species